UUAAGCGACUAAGCGUACACGGUGGAUGCCCUGGCAGUCAGAGGCGAUGAAGGACGUGCUAAUCUGCGAUAAGCGUCGGUAAGGUGAUAUGAACCGUUAUAACCGGCGAUUUCCGAAUGGGGAAACCCAGUGUGUUUCGACACACUAUCAUUAACUGAAUCCAUAGGUUAAUGAGGCGAACCGGGGGAACUGAAACAUCUAAGUACCCCGAGGAAAAGAAAUCAACCGAGAUUCCCCCAGUAGCGGCGAGCGAACGGGGAGCAGCCCAGAGCCUGAAUCAGUGUGUGUGUUAGUGGAAGCGUCUGGAAAGGCGCGCGAUACAGGGUGACAGCCCCGUACACAAAAAUGCACAUGCUGUGAGCUCGAUGAGUAGGGCGGGACACGUGGUAUCCUGUCUGAAUAUGGGGGGACCAUCCUCCAAGGCUAAAUACUCCUGACUGACCGAUAGUGAACCAGUACCGUGAGGGAAAGGCGAAAAGAACCCCGGCGAGGGGAGUGAAAAAGAACCUGAAACCGUGUACGUACAAGCAGUGGGAGCACGCUUAGGCGUGUGACUGCGUACCUUUUGUAUAAUGGGUCAGCGACUUAUAUUCUGUAGCAAGGUUAACCGAAUAGGGGAGCCGAAGGGAAACCGAGUCUUAACUGGGCGUUAAGUUGCAGGGUAUAGACCCGAAACCCGGUGAUCUAGCCAUGGGCAGGUUGAAGGUUGGGUAACACUAACUGGAGGACCGAACCGACUAAUGUUGAAAAAUUAGCGGAUGACUUGUGGCUGGGGGUGAAAGGCCAAUCAAACCGGGAGAUAGCUGGUUCUCCCCGAAAGCUAUUUAGGUAGCGCCUCGUGAAUUCAUCUCCGGGGGUAGAGCACUGUUUCGGCAAGGGGGUCAUCCCGACUUACCAACCCGAUGCAAACUGCGAAUACCGGAGAAUGUUAUCACGGGAGACACACGGCGGGUGCUAACGUCCGUCGUGAAGAGGGAAACAACCCAGACCGCCAGCUAAGGUCCCAAAGUCAUGGUUAAGUGGGAAACGAUGUGGGAAGGCCCAGACAGCCAGGAUGUUGGCUUAGAAGCAGCCAUCAUUUAAAGAAAGCGUAAUAGCUCACUGGUCGAGUCGGCCUGCGCGGAAGAUGUAACGGGGCUAAACCAUGCACCGAAGCUGCGGCAGCGACGCUUAUGCGUUGUUGGGUAGGGGAGCGUUCUGUAAGCCUGUGAAGGUGUGCUGUGAGGCAUGCUGGAGGUAUCAGAAGUGCGAAUGCUGACAUAAGUAACGAUAAAGCGGGUGAAAAGCCCGCUCGCCGGAAGACCAAGGGUUCCUGUCCAACGUUAAUCGGGGCAGGGUGAGUCGACCCCUAAGGCGAGGCCGAAAGGCGUAGUCGAUGGGAAACAGGUUAAUAUUCCUGUACUUGGUGUUACUGCGAAGGGGGGACGGAGAAGGCUAUGUUGGCCGGGCGACGGUUGUCCCGGUUUAAGCGUGUAGGCUGGUUUUCCAGGCAAAUCCGGAAAAUCAAGGCUGAGGCGUGAUGACGAGGCACUACGGUGCUGAAGCAACAAAUGCCCUGCUUCCAGGAAAAGCCUCUAAGCAUCAGGUAACAUCAAAUCGUACCCCAAACCGACACAGGUGGUCAGGUAGAGAAUACCAAGGCGCUUGAGAGAACUCGGGUGAAGGAACUAGGCAAAAUGGUGCCGUAACUUCGGGAGAAGGCACGCUGAUAUGUAGGUGAAG
rnacentral:rRNA from 1 species